rnacentral:rRNA from 1 species
GAUUGCCUCAGUAACGGCGAGUGAAGCGGCAAAAGCUCAAAUUUUAAAGCUGGCACCUUCGGUGUCCGCGUUGUAAUUUUGUGAGGCAUCUCCGGGUAGGGCGCCGGCCUAAGUUCCUUGGAACAGGACGUCAUAGAGGGUGAGAAUCCCGUGCUUGGCUGGCUGUCCCCGUCCAUGUGAGGUGUCUUCGACGAGUCGAGUUGUUUGGGAAUGCAGCUCAAAAUGGGUGGUAAAUUUCAUCUAAAGCUAAAUAUUGGUGGGAGACCGAUAGCGCACAAGUAGAGUGAUCGAAAGAUGAAAAGCACUUUGAAAAUAGAGUUAAAAAGUACGUGAAAUUGUUGAAAGGGAAGCGCUUGAGACCAGACUUCGGUGGGGGGUGAUCAGCUGUCCUUCUGGGCGGUGCACUUGCUCCCCUCCGGGCCAGCAUCGGUUGGGGCGGCGGGAUAAAGAUCCCGGGAAUGUGGCUCCUUUCGGGGAGUGUUAUAGCCCGGGUGAAUGCCGCCAGUUCCGACCGAGGACCGCGCCUUCGGGCUAGGAUG